CCUAGUUUCUGCAGGAGCAAAAGAGAAUCCUUUGUGAUGCAUUCGAUGGGAGCUGCUAGGCUUCGCAUCAGGUUGCAGGCAGCUCUAGUGAUGUCCCUUUUACUACUGCAGAUUAUGCCAUUUCUGCCAUGUACGCUCGCCACCGGAGGCAAUUCUGCCGAGCUACUGAUCAUGGGCAGGGAGAAGCAUGAAGGCCAUCUCCUCUUAGCUCCAAGCAAAUCGACACGGUCUCGUCGAAUCCUACAAAAUCGUAUCAGCUCGGGUGGCGGUAAUCCUUUGUGGGACCCGAGACACGACCCUCCUUGUUGCUAGGAUUUGAGCAGAGCCAAGUACAAAGUUUGCACCUUAAUUUUACGGAGAAGUAUUGUAGGUGUGGUGAUGGAGUUAUGGGGGCAAACAACUCCAUUGACCAAGGUUUUAAUCCUUGUGUAGGCAUAAUUUGACAUAGGUAUUUCCUUACUGUCUUGCAAACAAACUAGCAGGAUGAUCGGCAUUUGCGCGAUAAGAUCUACUAAAGUUUAUAGCUUCAAUUCAUAUAUAUAUUACACUCACUUUCUUCAUCGUUUAAUUGUACAAUGUUAUCCUUAUUCUAAUGUAACUUUAUAGAAUGUUUAUUUUUUUUAUUUCGUCGAGAUUGUAAUACUAUUGUAAUGCUAAUCAAGCACAUCUAUCAGUGUCGAGGUCUGCUAAUGAAAAAUUCCUCUCAUUUCAAUUAAGUGAAA